GCCCGCCUAGCUCAAUCGGAUAGAGCGUCAGACUUUUACGGCGGUGCUUUGCUUACCUCGAAAUAUCUGAAGGCUGCGAGUUCGACCCUCGCGGUGGGCU